GUCCACGCCGUAAACGUUGGGCACUAGGUGUGGGGAGGAAUCAACCCUUUCCGUGCCGUAGCUAACGCAUUAAGUGCCCCGCCUGGGGAGUACGGCCGCAAGGCUAAAACUCAAAGGAAUUGACGGGGGCCCGCACAAGCGGCGGAGCAUGUUGCUUAAUUCGAGGCAACGCGAAGAACCUUACCUGGGUUUGACAUGUACGGAAAAGCCAUAGAGAUAUGGUGUCCUUUUGGGCCGUAUACAGGUGGUGCAUGGCUGUCGU
rnacentral:rRNA from 1 species